rnacentral:misc_RNA from 1 species
UUUCCGUAGGUGAACCUGCGGAAGGAUCAUUAAAGUUAUAGUCCCCUGGCCCUCUGGGCUGGGGUCUUCUAUACCACCCUUUGUUUAUUACACCUUUGUUGCUUUGGCAGGCCUGCCCUCGGGCUGCUGGCUCCGGCCGGCGAGCGCCUGCCAGAGGACCUAAACUCUGUUUGUCUAUAAUGUCUGAGUACUAUAUAAUAGUUAAAACUUUCAACAACGGAUCUCUUGGUUCUG